GACGAACGCUGGCGGCGUGCUUAACACAUGCAAGUCGAACGGAAAGGCCCUGCUUUUGUGGGGUGCUCGAGUGGCGAACGGGUGAGUAACACGUGAGUAACCUGCCCUUGACUUUGGGAUAACUUCAAGAAACUGGGGCUAAUACCGGAUAGGAGCUCCUGCUGCAUGGUGGGGGUUGGAAAGUUUCGGCGGUUGGGGAUGGACUCGCGGCUUAUCAGCUUGUUGGUGGGGUAGUGGCUUACCAAGGCUUUGACGGGUAGCCGGCCUGAGAGGGUGACCGGCCACAUUGGGACUGAGAUGCGGCCCAGACUCCUACGGGAGGCAGCAGUGGGGAAUAUUGCACAAUGGGCGGAAGCCUGAUGCAGCAACGCCGCGUGCGGGAUGACGGCCUUCGGGUUGUAAACCGCUUUCGCCUGUGACGAAGCGUGAGUGACGGUAAUGGGUAAAGAAGCACCGGCUAACUACGUG
rnacentral:rRNA from 1 species